CCUACGGGCGGCAGCAGUCGAGAAUCAUUCACAAUGGGGGAAACCCUGAUGGUGCGACGCCGCGUAGGGGAAUGAAGGUCUUCGGAUUGUAAACCCCUGUCAUGUGGGAGCAAAUUAAAAAGAUAGUACCACAAGAGGAAGAGACUGCUAACUCUGUGCCAGCAGCCGCGGUAAUACAGAGGUCUCAAGCGUUGUUCGGAAUCACUGGGCGUAAAGCGUGCGUAGGCUGUUUCGUAAGUCGUGUGUGAAAGGCGCGGGCUCAACCCGCGGACGGCACAUGAUACUGCGAGACUAGAGUAAGGGAGGGGGAACCGGAAUUCUCGGUGUAGCAGUGAAAUGCGUAGAUAUCGAGAGGAACACUCGUGGCGAAGGCGGGUUCCUGGACAGUAACUGACGCUGAGGCACGAAGGCCAGGGGAGCGAAAGGGAUUAGAUACCCUAGUAGUC
rnacentral:rRNA from 1 species